rnacentral:lncRNA from 1 species
GCCAGGUAGAAGGACAGGUAGACAGAGGACAGAUCAUUGUAUUUGAGAUAGGUAUGCAGGGUUUUCAAGUAUUCAAUAGCCAUCAAAGGCAAACGUCAUUGGGGAUGACAGGAGAGGAGGAUGUGUCAUUCAAAUAAAACGCUUUUAUGAUCAAUUAAUAGCAUAUGCCUUUUAAUGAUCCUGAUAAUCAAUCAAUCCCAAGUGGAAUACGUAUGACUGAUAUUCGUUGACAUUCUUCUGCAUCACAUACAACAUGUUUUUUUCCAUAACAAUGGAAUACAUGUGCAACGGAUCCAUCAAUUGACAAAAAGGUUGCUCUCACACAUCUGUGCAUUGUAGCCUUUAUGCAUGACAUUGCAUACAGCAUGGUCAUGUGUUGAAUUUACAUGACCAACAUUUUCUGGCUGCAGGUUUCAACAGCAAGCGAUGACAAUAAUAACCAGCUGAAUUAAAAACUGUAGCCUAUAAUUUGCCCAUAAAUUAGGCUACAGCAGAUUGUAGGCUACUUGUCGGCAUUUGGCAACAACCUGACGACGAGAAGCCUGCCAAAAUAAGAAAUAUUGUGACACCUACUUACCCAAUGUGUAGAACAAUGGUUGUUAAGAGAAUGUUAUUUAAUAGCGCUCCAACGAUAUUUCACCAUCGACAACCCAUGGAAAGGACUUGGUGCGCACAGUCUGUCCUCAUCGUGAUUUCCUCUACUCUCUUUAUUCUACUGCGAGGAUAACUAUCUCCGCCGCGGUGACAUCACACAGAAGGAUUUUUUUUUUUUUAUCACACAGAACUAGUAUUCUGCCAGCACAAAUUAUGACGUCACGUUCUUUCGGAAAUGAAGAAACCUUCCAAAUAAAAGCCAUAUUUGGUUAGUAGAGACUCUACUGAGUAUUUCCCACACCACUUUAGCUGAGACAGCUAGAAAAGUUCUAUCGCUGUAUCCCAUGUACAGUCUAUUACAGUGUAUUGCAUUGGGCUAUGGAGCUGGUGGAGAACGAAGUGCUGCUGGAUAUGUAUGACACAGUCCCCUUCCAAAACUACACAUAUUUGCUCCGGAGGUCUACAUCACCGGCCUUCUAGGCGUCACUGAACUGGAUCAUUACCACCAACCCCGGACUGUCUUGUCUCAUUACGCACACCUGGUUCCCAUUCCCCUGAUUAGUAUGUGUAUAUAUGUGCCCUCUGUUCCACAUUGUCCUUGUUGAUUAUUGUUCCAUGUCCGUUGGUCUUGUGAGUACCUGUGCUCUGUUGUAUCGGCUUGCGUGUUACCGUGUUAGUGUGUACUAGUGUUAUUACGUGUCUCGUCCCAUGUAUUUAUUUGAGGUUUACAUCUCGCUCUUUGUUUGGGUUACAGCCCUGUGUUAUUUAUAUAUAUAUAUAUAUACAUGUUUGUUUUGAGCUUUGUCCCCAUCAUGUUCAUGACGUACACUAUUUUGGGUAGAGAAAUAAAAAAAGCUGUAUUUCGUAUUCCUGCGCCUGUCUGCUAUCAUUCAUUAUACAACGUGACAGAAUAAUCAACCCAUCUAAUGGAGACAGCGGGAAAGGCAGAGCUGGCGACCAUCAUAGGGACAGUCCAGCAUCACAAGGACUAUCUCUCCAGACUCGGCAGCGCCAUGGACAGCGUACUGGCAACCAUCCUGCGUUUGGAGGGGAAUGUGCAGUCCCUCCAGUCUCCAGCACCAGUUCUGGCACCAGCUCCCACACCACCACUACAUUCCUCCGCCCCUCAAGUGGAUUUACCGGAGGACUAACAGGAUCUGCAGCGGGUUUUCUCUAAGACUCUCUAGAAUUUCUCUAGAAUUACCAC